UUGGUUUUGUUCAAGAGAUAAGGUUGCGGCUGGAACAGGGGAGUUAGAACGGCUUGAAUGCUCAUCCUUGGAGCUCGGGGAUGUUUCCGUUGGCUGGACGGGAAGGAAUCCGGAAGCAGAGGAGAGCUGAGAGAUCCGGGAUAAGGAUGAGUUCUAGAAUUGGUUCCGCUGAGAAGAACACGGAGAAGGAAGAUAACAUGCCCGAUGCUGGGGUUCGGAGAAGAACAUGGGACGUUGGGAUGCUGACGCGUGAAACUGGGGAGUUAAUUCAAAGAUGAGGAUGAAGCGGAUGAUGGGAUGAAGAUGGAGGAGAUGAAGCUUUGGAACGGCUGGCAGCUGGGACUUGAUCCUUGUGAACGGUGGGAUGUUUGACUUGCGGCUGGCAGUGGGAUGGGAACGUAUCACGAAUGGGAUGAACUGCAAGAUCUUGGAGGAUACUGAGCCGUUGGGAGGUGCCAGAUUCGGCUGGGAAAAUAAGCUUGAUUGUGCGUGGAGGAUGGCUGCUCCAUCUUUUCCGGAAGCAAAGGAACAACUUGAAACAGGGGAGGAUGGUCACGGUUGAAGGAAGAUGCCGGAGGAUAUGCGAACUGGAUGAAGAUGAAUCGCGGAAUCGUGGGAGGAGGUGAGAUGCUGGGUUGGUUCGGAAGAAGAGAAGAUGGAGAUGGAGCUAAUCAUGGAAAAACAUGGGAUCUGUUCGUGGCCG
rnacentral:lncRNA from 1 species